CGUAUGCUCUGCAGCCUUGCCUCAACCCUUAAUAUUAGUGCUUUUUACAGUGAAUUAUAUGGCUUAACCCUUUCCCCCUCUGUUAGAUCUUCAUCCACUGUAGUACAGUGGUGUGCCAUCCCUCCUCUGGCUCCUGUGAGCAAAGCUGCACUAGGAAAAGAAGAGACACGCACGUCAAGACCAUCUCUAGUGGGCAAACUGUGGUGUCUAGUGGAGAAGUUAACCUGGUCAAGUGAAUUUUAGUGUUUUAAUAAACUUCAUGAAACUCAA